rnacentral:misc_RNA from 1 species
GAUGAAGAACGUAGCGAAAUGCGAUACUUGGUGUGAAUUGCAGAAUCCCGUGAACCAUCGAGUCUUUGAACGCAAGUUGCGCCCGAAGCCGUCAGGCCGAGGGCACGCCUGCCUGGGCGUCACACGCCGCUGCCCACCCCGCGCCCCGCACCCAACUCUUUGGGAGCGACCGCGGGGCGGGCUGAUGAUGGCCUCCCGUGCGCUCCGCCGCGCGGUUGGCCCAAAUACCGAGUCCCCGGCGACGUGCGCCACGACGAUCGGUGGUUGAGAGACCUCUGUCGCAAGUCGUGCGCGCCCGUCGCGUCACGCGGGCUCGCAUAGCGCCUCGCGCCGCACCCGGUGCGGAGCUUUCAACGCGACCCCAGGUCAGGCGGGGUUACCCGCUGAAUUUAAGCAUAUCAAUAAGCGGAGGA